UACGGGGGGGGCAAGCGUUGUUCGGAAUUACUGGGCGUAAAGAGCUCGUAGGCGGUUUGUCACGUCGGAUGUGAAACCCCGGGGCUUAACUCCGGGCCUGCAUUCGAUACGGGCUGACUAGAGUUCGGCAGGGGAGACUGGAAUUCCUGGUGUAGCGGUGAAAUGCGCAGAUAUCAGGAGGAACACCGGUGGCGAAGGCGGGUCUCUGGGCAUGUCCUGACGCUGAGGAGCGAAAGUGUGGGGAGCGAACAGG
rnacentral:rRNA from 1 species